rnacentral:rRNA from 1 species
CAGCAGCCACGGGAAUACGAAGGGUGCAAGCGUUAAUCGGAAUUACUGGGCGUAAAGCGCGCGUAGGUGGUUUGGUAAGAUGGAUGUGAAAUCCCCGGGCUCAACCUGGGAACUGCAUCCAUAACUGCCUGACUAGAGUACGGUAGAGGGUGGUGGAAUUUCCUGUGUAGCGGUGAAAUGCGUAGAUAUAGGAAGGAACACCAGUGGCGAAGGCGACCACCUGGACUGAUACUGACACUGAGGUGCGAAAGCGUGGGGAGCAAACAGGAUUAGAUACCCCAGUAGUCCCUGUCUCUUAUAA